GGGGAAUAUUGCACAAUGGGGGAAACCCUGAUGCAGCCAUGCCGCGUGUGUGAAGAAGGCCUUCGGGUUGUAAAGCACUUUCAGUGGGGAGGAAGGGGAGCAGACUAAUAUUCUGUUUCAUUGACGUUACCCACAGAAGAAGCACCGGCUAACUCCGUGCCAGCAGCCGCGGUAAUACGGAGGGUGCAAGCGUUAAUCGGAAUAACUGGGCGUAAAGCGCACGCAGGCGGUUGGAUAAGCGAGAUGUGAAAGCCCCGGGCUCAACCUGGGAACUGCAUUUCGAACUGUCCGACUAGAGUCUUGUAGAGGGGGGUAGAAUUCCAGGUGUAGCGGUGAAAUGCGUAGAGAUCUGGAGGAAUACCGGUGGCGAAGGCGGCCCCCUGGACAAAGACUGACGCUCAGGUGCGAAAGCGUGGGGAGCAAAC
rnacentral:rRNA from 1 species